AGUGGGAGAGCUGGGUCAAAUGGUAGUUCCUUCCCAGUUUUCUAAGGAAUAUCCAUACCACUUUCCAUAUUGGCUAUACCAAUUUGAAGUCCCACUAGCAAU
rnacentral:pre_miRNA from 1 species